CGGGAUUCGCAUGCUCAGCGCUGAGCGCAAGUUGGUAACAACAAGGUAGCAAGAAGUUGCCGACAGCGUCAUGCGAGAGCGUAAGCUCGAGCAUUACGCGUAUUCCAAGUGCAUAGCACAUGCAAACUUGGGCGCUGAGUGCUGAGCAGGCGAUGAGAGUGGCGAACGGGCGAGUAACGCGUGAGCAACCUACCUCGUACUGGGGGAUAACGUCGGGAAACCGGCGCUAAUACCGCAUAAGACUACGAUGUCGCAUGGCAAUGUAGUCAAAGCUCCGGCGGUACGAGACGGGCUCGCGUCCGAUUAGCUAGUUGGUAGGGUAACGGCCUACCAAGGCGACGAUCGGUAGCCGGACUGAGAGGUCGGCCGGCCGCAUUGGGACUGAGACACGGCCCAGACUCCUACGGGAGGCAGCAGUGGGGAAUAUUGCGCAAUGGGGGAAACCCUGACGCAGCGACGCCGCGUGAAGGAAGAAGGCCUUCGGGUUGUAAACUUCUUUGAUCGGGGACGAAGGAAGACGGUACCCGAGGAACAAGCCACGGCUAACUACGUGCCAGCAGCCGCGGUAAUACGUAGGUGGCGAGCGUUGUCCGGAAUUACUGGGCGUAAAGGGCGUGUAGGCGGGGGGACAAGUCAGAUGUGAAAUACCGCAGCUUAACUGCGGGGCUGCAUCUGAAACUGUUCUUCUUGAGUGUCGGAGAGGAAAGUGGAAUUCCCAGUGUAGCGGUGAAAUGCGUAGAGAUUGGGAGGAACACCAGUGGCGAAGGCGGCUUUCUGGACGACAACUGACGCUGAGGCGCGAAAGCGUGGGGAGCAACAGGAUAGAUACCCUGGUA
rnacentral:rRNA from 1 species